UACGAAGGGGGCUAGCGUUGCUCGGAAUCACUGGGCGUAAAGAGCUCGUAGGUGGUUUGUCGCGUUGGUCGUGAAAUCUCACGGCUUAACUGUGAGCGUGCGGGCGAUACGGGCAGACUAGAGUACUGCAGGGGAGACUGGAAUUCCUGGUGUAGCGGUGGAAUGCGCAGAUAUCAGGAGGAACACCGGUGGCGAAGGCGGGUCUCUGGGCAGUAACUGACGCUGAGGAGCGAAAGCGUGGGGAGCGAACAGG
rnacentral:rRNA from 1 species